rnacentral:rRNA from 1 species
GUCUACAGCCAUGCCACCCUCAACGUGCCCGAUCUUGUCUGAUCUCGGAAGCUAAGCAGGGUUGGGCCUGGUUAGUACUUGGAUGGGAGACCACCUAGGAAGACCAGGCACUGUAGGUG